rnacentral:ncRNA from 2 species
GAGAAGCCCGUGAGAUUCGGGCGCGGUCCCGCCACUGUGACGUGAGUCCUCCGACCCACGAAGCCAGAUC